UGAGUCUGGGAUUUCUGAAUGGGGAAACCCACUUACAUAAGUAAGUAUCGUUAUGUGAAUACAUAGCAUAACGAGGCGAACCGGGGGAACUGAAACAUCUAAGUACCCCGAGGAAAAGAAAUCAACCGAGAUUCCGAAAGUAGCGGCGAGCGAAAUUGGACUAGCCCUUAAGCUUUACACGCGUUAGACGAACGGUCUGGAAAGUCCGACGAUACAGGGUGAUAGUCCCGUAGUUGACGACGUGUGUUCAGUGAAAUCGAGUAGGGCGGGACACGUGAUAUCCUGUCUGAAUAUGGGGGGACCAUCCUCCAAGGCUAAAUACUACUGACUGACCGAUAGUGAACCAGUACCGUGAGGGAAAGGCGAAAAGAACCCCUGUGAGGGGAGUGAAAUAGAACCUGAAACCGUGUACGUACA
rnacentral:rRNA from 1 species